CCCUUAGAUGUUCUGGGCUGCACGCGCGCUACACUGAAGCGUUCAACGAGUAUUCACCUUGCCCGGGAGGGUUGGGUAAUCUUUUGAAAACGCUUCGUGAUGGGGAUAGAUUAUUGCAAUUAUUAAUCUUCAACGAGGAAUUCCUAGUAAGCGCGAGUCAUCAGCUCGUGCUGAUUACGUCCCUGCCCUUUGUACACACCGCCCGUCGCUGCCCGGAACUGAGCCGUUUCGAGAAAGCCGGGGACCGACGACUCGUCGGUGCGCAAGCACUUCUUGUCGACGGAAACCAGUUUGAUCGGUACGGCUUGAACCGGGCAAAAGUCGUAACA
rnacentral:rRNA from 1 species